UGAUCACUUGUGGUAGACAAAUAUUUUUGGCUUAGGCUAUGAAAGAGGCAGGAGGAAGGGUGUACAGAAAAGGAGGCUUAAUAACCAGAAAGAGUAUCAUGAGAAACCAGAAUUCAUAUGGAGAAAGCUAACAGAAAGAAAACAAAAAGGAAGGGUGGGGCAGAAUGUGUUCUUAGUACGUGUUUGUGAAUAUAAAUCUACAAAAGUGACAAGAAACCCUCAGCUUCUGCAAGUGCAAAUUCAUAUCAGGAAAUUCAAAUUCAUAUGAAAGAAGGCUUUGGUGUUGAAUAGCAUUCCUGGUGUUUCAAAGACAGCCCUGCCUGCUGCCCAAGACCAUCCCUUCCUACAAAACCAUGGACCUAGCUCAACAGAGGAGAGCAAAACGAUCUGUCAGUUUUGCCAAGAAAAUACUACUCUGACUGAUGGUCCUGCUACUUGAAAGCGGAAAAGGACAGCACAAAAGAAAACAUCCUCCUUGUCUGCCUUCAUCCACCUUGUAGUCUCAGUCCCUAAUUCCAUGUUCUGUCCCUCACCCAGCCUAUCUGACCUGCUUUCCUUAGAGAAGGUCUGAAGGUGAAUCCAGAGCUGGACUAGAUGCAACUGAUGAAGCAGCAUAAACUGUGUCCACAUCAUAAUGCUUCUGCUCCAUCCUCAGGAUUUAUUCAUUAAAUGACGGAAUUGUUCAGUUUGGAAAAGACCUUUAAAAUCAUGGAAUCCAACCAUAAUCUUCACAACUCACCUUGUAACCUGGAUCUUCUUUGAGACUGCCCAAGCUGGGGAAGGUGAAGAAAAGCAUCAUGGCCAGUUGGCCUGUAUUCUCUGUAAUGGUGAAGGACAAAAGACACUGGAAAAUGAUAAAACUAACUGGAAACUUUAUCUAAACCCCUACAUUUGUGAGCUCAGCCUGCUUUACACAAGCCCUUCCAUAGCACUGGCUCUCUGCUUUGGGCUGUUAAGAGUUUGAGAGCCCUGGAGAACCUUGAGGUUACUGCUGCCCCUAAAGCCAGCCUGUGAGAAGCAAGGGGCCUCUCAAAAUUAGGCAAGCCAAAGAAAGCUUGAAACUUGAUGACUGUAGCUUAUUGGACUCAGGACAGCAAAAAGGAGACUCAGCUCUGCCUGAAAAUAUCAUUACAGCUAUAGGUCCUGUUAUAGACUGAGAAAUCCAUAGCAUAGCAGAAGGCAAAGACAGAGGCACCAGGAAAGGCAGAAGGGACAAAACUAUUCAUAAACUGGUUAUUAGGCUUAUAUGUGUAACACUUUUAUCCUUCAGUUACUAUUUUGAUCUAUGCUAGCCUGGGAUAUGAUCUCCAGCCAUGGUGUGUGCAAGAAAGGAAAAUAAUCCUCAUUUGAUCUGGAAAUCACAUAUUCUUGACUCUGACUGCUGAAAGAAACAACUCCCAGACAGACCAGGUGUUUAAAUAGCUUGAAACUGGAAUUUACUGCCAGUUUGGCAGUUAAACUGAGCCACAGUUUAGCAGUUGGUAAACCUGGACAUGUGCCAGUGCCCUCGACUAUUAACCAUUCCCAUGUAAAAUAACUCUGGCCUUUGUGUGACAGCCACAGAAGGAUGGAGGACAGAUCCCACCACUGCUGCUUUCCUGCUGUCCAGGCCCACAUCUCCAGCCAGUCUCACAAGCAAGGGAACCUGGUGCUCUUCAACAGCCUGUCUGUGCAAGGAGCACUCUUCCUGAGCAGGCAGCCAAAAUUCAACAGAUGGGGUACUUGACAAAACUUCAAGGAUCUGUCUCCUCUUCCUUCUGUUCCCUACUUCAAAACAGCUUGUUUUACACAGCUUGCUGAACUCUCCCUUGUUCUGCCCUCCCCGAUUCUGGUGAAUAAAGCUGUGAGAGCCACAGAGAAAGAACAGCCACCCAUCAGCUUAUUUUCAAUUCUCCUGUCCCCUUCUCUUCUGAGUCAACAGGGGAAGCCUUCCCUGAGGCUUCCAAAACUAAAAUAGCAGUAACUAAAGCUGAAACACC